CUGUGGAAAACCUGAAUGUAUGGCUACAUGAUAGCGAUUUCAUCAUUGUUGACCGAGGUUCUUUACUUCAUUCCGUAACACAUGCCUUCCUCAGGUGAGUCGCAACAUCAAACAUCAAACAAGGAUGGACAAUGCACAAAAAAACCCAUUCUGGGUCGUAGUAACCACGGAUGAUUCAAACAAAAGCAUUUUUAAAGAGCCGCUAUACUUUUCACUGAAACACAUGUCAUUGAACAGCUUGUUCGAAUUACUACUGCCUGCAUGAAUCUUAUGCAUGGUCCCAUAUACAAUCCAUCUAUCGCCUGUGAAGCAAAAUAUUGCCAACUUGCCAGCAACAUGUCGGCCAUGAUUUCAUUGGAGAAUUCUUUGGCAGACGGACUUCUCAUUCAAUGAACCUGAUUUAAGUCAAAGUAGAAGAAGUUAGUGCGUGCUGAGAAAGCUAUUCCAGGGAUUAAUAUGGUAUACAUGGGAAUUGCCAAAUGAAGCGCCUGUCAAAUCCAGUAAGGCUCAGGGUAUAUUGCAGAAAACCUGACUGAUGAUGGUGAUAUCCAGGUGUGGGUGUCCCAGCAUACUGAUGAUCUCAUUCGGGGACGUCGCAAAUUCCACAGCUAUUACAAUGGUUGGAUAGAGUCCAAUGCAGACAAAAAGGAUGACCCUAUCACAAAUCAUUACUGUCAGCUUGAAGUAGGCAAACGUACAGUGGGUAUGUCAUGCUACACUUCAAGUAUCCAGUACUACCUCGGUCAACCUCUCUCACCAAUCACAGUGUUGGUAGUAAUCCGCUUUGCGAUUAAGGAGGACUAACGGCGCAUAGCAGACAACGACGGAUGAAGCGUGAUGGCUAAAGAUCAUCGAUCCUGACUCUUCGGGUCGGAUGACCUGAAAAUAUAUAAGAAUGCUGAUGUGACAGUCGUGAAGAAAUCACCAAAGAUCAUGCGUCAGUGCCACGUGGCCUCCUACUGAAGACAUGCUAUACACCAUCUGCUGUUACAUGCAACUGUGUCCACAACAAAAAAUAUCAAAAGAGAGCAUAAUUAUUUAGCUUUGGUCAAUAUUCAAUAAUUCCCGUCAGUAGUGCAAUAUAUUGUAUUGUUUUAUUUAUUGAUUCACUAACAAUUAUUUGAAGCUACUGUGAUUUUAUUCAUAAUUUGCAGACAUUGAUUACAUUAUUAGCAAAUAGAUUAAAUAUUGAUAUUAUCAAAUAUAUUUAAUAGGCCGUUUGUUUGAAAGAUGGACACAACUCAAUUGAACUAAAGUUUUCCUUCUGUUUAUGACAUAAUAAACUGAAUCUAUAUCAAUACAUUUAUCUUAAAUAUAUAAACAUGUUUUGUUUUUCUUCAUGUCUUUAUCUUAAUUGUAUGGACAGAUGGACCCUCUGACCUCUGCAGCAAGAUUGUUGAAUUGUUGAAUACUUUUUGUCUCAUCUCCUAGUCCCUGAGUUGAUACAGAUAUGUCAGAAUCAAAUACUCAGUACUCUGCAGGUAAUUUAAUUAUAGAAGAGUCUCUAUAUGCCUUAUGAAAAU